UUGUUUUGUUUUGUUUUUUGUUUUUUUUUUGAAUUUUUCCUAGUCAUUUUGUUUAUUUUAUUUUUUUAGAAAAAUAAUUUAUCUCAUAUGUAAAAGAUCUCGAGCAUCGGAUGCUUAUCUAUCUUUGCAAUAAAAAUGCCGACUAGAACUUUUCCAGCUGGAUGGCUUUAUAUUCCAAUAAAAACACGACGAGAAUCAGCAUCUAGAAUCCAACUCUGAUUCAAAAACCCGCGAACGCUU
rnacentral:lncRNA from 1 species